AACGAACGCUGGCGGCAGGCCUAACACAUGCAAGUCGAACGCACCGCAAGGUGAGUGGCGCACGGGUGAGUAACACGUGGGAAUGUACCCUUUGGUUCGGAAUAACGUUUGGAAACGAACGCUAAUACCGGAUGAGCCCUGUGGGGGAAAGAUUUAUCGCCAAAGGAGCAGCCCGCGUCUGAUUAGCUAGUUGGUGGGGUAAAGGCCUACCAAGGCGACGAUCAGUAGCUGGUCUGAGAGGAUGAUCAGCCACACUGGGACUGAGACACGGCCCAGACUCCUACGGGAGGCAGCAGUGGGGAAUCUUAGACAAUGGGGGAAACCCUGAUCUAGCCAUGCCGCGUGAUCGAUGAAGGCCUUAGGGUUGUAAAGAUCUUUCAGUGGGGAAGAUAAUGACGGUACCCACAGAAGAAGCCCCGGCUAACUCCGUGCCAGCAGCCGCGGUAAU
rnacentral:rRNA from 1 species